CAUUCUUUUCAUUUGUUGCAUUUUAUUUGAUAUUACCAAAAAGUAAACAAUAAAAAAAAAGUUAAUUUAUCGUACAGUUGCCUGUUACUUUUUAUCAGGUUGGGUCAAUAAACUAACAUACAGUUAAGUGUGUCAAUAAUCUGUUUUUAUGAAGUUUUAAAAGUGUAGCUGUAUAGAUCAGUCUUGUUAAACGUGUGGUAAACUUGGUUGUCCGUUUGAAUACGUAAAUUUUUAUAAACUUAUUUAAAAAAUGCGUUUAAUUAUUGUUGAUACUGCUUCUGACGUUGCGGAAUGGUCGGCGAAAUAUGUAAUGAAAAGAAUAAAUGAUUUUAAUGCUGGUCCAAAUAAAUAUUUCGUUUUGGGACUUCCGACAGGAAGUACCCCUCUUGGUAUGUAUAGAAAAUUAAUCGAGUUUUACAAAGAAGGAAAAGUGUCUUUUAAAUAUGUUAAAACUUUUAAUAUGGACGAAUACGUUAAUUUGCCCAGAGAUCAUCCAGAGAGUUAUCAUUAUUUUAUGUGGAACAACUUUUUUAAACACAUCGAUAUCGAUCCGGCAAACGUAAAUCUACUUGACGGUAAUGCGCCAGAUUUAGUGGCAGAGUGUAAUAAUUACGAGAAGAAAAUAUUAGAAGCUGGUGGUAUCGAACUUUUUAUUGGUGGAAUUGGUCCAGACGGACACAUAGCUUUUAACGAACCUGGUUCAUCCCUCGUUUCUAGAACCCGAGUGAAAACGUUAGCUUAUGAUACAUUGGAAGCAAAUGCCCGAUUUUUUGACAAUGAUAUAAGCAAAGUGCCCACACAAGCAUUAACCGUCGGCGUUGGUACCGUAAUGGACGCCAGAGAGGUAAUGAUAUUAAUAAUAGGAAAUCACAAAGCUUUUGCUUUAUAUAAAGCGAUAGAGGAAGGUGUAAAUCACAUGUGGACUGUAUCAGCUUUCCAACAACAUCCUCACACUCUCAUGGUUUGUGACGAAGAUGCUACUCUAGAAUUGAGGGUUAAAACGGUGAAAUAUUUUAAGGCCCUUAGCGCAGUACAUCAAAAAUUGGUUGAAGAAUCAAUUCCCUUGGAUAGAUCUCGAACUAUUCAUUGAGUUCUUUUAUUUUUUUUUAUUGAUUUCUACAAGACAAAAUAUUCAUAAAAAGUUUGCUUACUGUUCAUCAUAAAUUAAUCGACUAGGUGCCUAUACUAAGCAUACGACAUUAUAUAUUAUCAUUAAGUAAAUCAAGAUCUGUUGAAAUCUUUAAAUAUAUAUUUUUCUUUCAA